UACGUAGGGGGCUAGCGUUGUCCGGAAUCAUUGGGCGUAAAGAGCGUGUAGGCGGUCCGGUAAGUCCGCUGUGAAAGUCGGGGGCUCAACCCUCGAAUGCCGGUGGAUACUGUCGGGCUAGAGUGCGGAAGAGGCGAGUGGAAUUCCUGGUGUUAGCGGGUGAAAUGCGCAGAUAUCAGGAGGAACACCGAUGGCGAAGGCAGGUCUCUGGGCAUUAAACUGACGCUGAGGAGCGAAAGCAUGGGGAGCGAACAGG
rnacentral:rRNA from 1 species